CCUACGGGAGGCUGCAGUGGGGAAUAUUGCACAAUGGGGGGAACCCUGAUGCAGCAACGCCGCGUGGGUGAAGAAGUACCCAGGUAUGUAAAGCCCUGUCUGCAGGGAAGAAAAUGACGGUACCUGACCAAGAAGCCACGGCUAACUACGUGCCAGCAGCCGCGGUAAUACGUAGGGGGCAAGCGUUAUCCGGAUUUACUGGGUGUAAAGGGAGCGUAGACGGCAAGGCAAGUCUGGAGUGAAAGCCCGGGGCCCAACGCCGGGACUGCUUUGGAAACUGUGUUGCUGGAGUGCAGGAGGGGUAGGCGGAAUGGCUGGUGUAGCGGUGAAAUGCUUAGAUAUUA
rnacentral:rRNA from 1 species